GUAUUAUUUUAUCCGUACGAUUAAUUAAGAUUUUUUUGGUUGAAUGAAUUAGAUGAAUUUAUUGAGCUUCGAAAAUAGAAAUGUUUAUUAAUUAUUUUUUUUUGAAGAAUAGAAUUCGUUUAAAUAAUGAGAUUCGAUAAUGAAUUUUGACCGCAUAAUAACGUUACAAUUUGCAAGAUAAAUCAAUAAUCCGUGGUCUCGUAACUGUUCCGUUAUAUAUAUAAUACGGAACUAAAGAGAAAUAAAUAUAAAUUUAUAUUAAACACAAGGGGAAACGUAUAGAAAAAAUAAAUGUGUGAAACGGAAAAUGAGAUUGUAACUAAAUAAAAAUAUAGUUGAUAUUAUAACAAACGUGAAAUUACACGAAACAAGAAGAAGAUAAUUAACGUUGCGAUGCAUUUUAAUUCCGCGGAACACAAUGUUUACACGAAACAGCAUCCAAAUAAAUCAUUACGAGCAAUCUCAUAAAAUAGAAAUAUUUACACACGCAAUAUCCAACUACUGGCUUAAUUUUCAAAAAUUUAUUUUACAAUUUUACAAUUGUAUUCGAACGAUAUAAAAUUCCAUCGUGUACAAAUAAACAGACACGUUUACCAAAACAUUAUUUCCACUUUCUAAUUCAACAUCUUAACCACAUAUACGCCUAUAUCCAUCUAUAUAUAUAUCUCUCAAAAAAUCGAUUUCUUCGAAUUAAUAUAAUCGAACAAUUCAUCUCGAUUUAUAACAUCAUCAGAUUCAUAAUCGACACAUCUUUGGUCCGUUUAAAAUCUCGACCAAAUUACGGAAAUAAAUUUGCUUGGUCACAAAGUGGGCCGUCUCGACUCGAGUAGAAAACAAUCGUAUCGUAUUACCGAAAGCCGCGUUUCCAGAGUGUCGAAAUUUCCAAUGGUGAAAUUUCCUUGGUAUUAGUCUUAGAAUUCUCGGGCCGAUUUAUGAGAGGACGAAGAGGAUGGGGAGAGGGGAGCGCACAAGGAGCGGCAUCAAAACGGCAAGUGCAUUUCGCGGCAAACGAGGCUCCCGACAUCUCGGUGUAAUCAGACACCGAGUGGGGAGUGGUGCAAAUGUAAUUGAAAACAUCCGUGAUGCAUCCUCUGAUCCAUGCCGCGCGCUCCCUUUUUCUCCUUCUUUCGCCGCAACGUUGCGCGCCACCCCUCUGUCCCCGUAAUUAAAAGUCGUUUCCCCGUGAUUUCUGCCCCCCCCUUCCGCGUUUUACCUGUUAUACACGCGCGCACCUGUUUCCUCUGCCGCGUUUUCAAUGCUCUUUUCAAUGCGAUUGUGUUACGCAUUUGUGGAAACGCGGAACUCGUUACACUUUGUAUAUACGCGCACUCUUUUUAAUCAGCGGUAAUACGCUGGGAGAAGAUGGGACGCGUUGUUGAGAUGUCGGGGUAAAUUGUUUUAUCGAGCUUGAUUCUUUAGUUAUCUUCUUAUUUCUUUUUUGGUUUUUGUUUUCGUUCUCUUUCAUUAUUAUUGUGUAUAAAAGAAAUUAACGUGAUGGAUAUUUAGAUAAUUUUAAAUAUUGUGAAAUGAAUAACUGAAUAAGAGAGAUGGGCAAAAUUUUAAUAGCGAUUGAAGUUAGAAAUAAAGUUACUUUAUGAUAAUUUGUUAUAUGCGAAGCAUCGAAUAACCGCAGAUAUAUCGUAUUACCGAAUGAAGAGGAAAGUUAUACGAAGAGGGAAUAAUGGUUACUGGUUUGAAUGUUAUUUUAAAUAAAAAAAUUAAAGUAACUUUAUUUUUAACCAAUUUUAUAAUUCCAUCUUCUGUAUCUAAUGCAUAGAAAAUUGAUAAGUAUUCUCGAUAAUACAGGGAUGGAUACUUUUCUUUAUGGAAAAAAUUUAGUUCAAUAAAUAUUAAAUAACCGAUCAUUCGUAUCCACUUAAACGAAACAACAAUAAUUGUUCCUAAAAUACGGACCAUUACAAUCCCUUACCGCCCCUUCAAGCAACACAAUACACAUUUACCAUUUUUAUUUUAAAUAAAAAAAUUAAAGUAACUUUAUCUUUAACCAAUUUUAUAAUUCCAUCUUCUGUAUCUAAUGCAUGGAAAAUUGAUAAGUAUUCUCGAUAAUACAGGGAUGGAUACUUUUCUUUAUGGAAAAAAUUUAGUUCAAUAAAUAUUAAAUAACCGAUCAUUCGUAUCCACUUAAACGAAACAACAAUAAUUGUUCCUAAAAUACGGACCAUUACAAUCCCUUACCGCCCCUUCAAGCGACACAAUACACAUUUACCGCGCGCGUAUCCGUGAAAUCGUGGAACUUUUCAGAAACGUUCGUAGACCAUGCCCUCGGAGAGGAGCGCGAUAAUGCGUUUCCAAGUAGCCGAAAGUAGGUGUAAAUACGGGCGGAAGAUUUUUUUUUUUUUUUUUCUCCCUCCGGCAUCGUGGAAUAUUAGGUGAAAGGAGCCGACAAAGAAGGUUCCCUUUUUAUCGCGAAUAAUUCUCAAUGGAGAAAAGUUUUUUUUUUUUUUUCCCUUCUUACAAAACCCCCUUCCCCCCCCUUUUAGUCGUACUAUCGUCGUGUACACACGUGAACGAUCGUGGUGAAAGAGGGGAAAAAGAGAAAAGGGGGCGGGGGGACGAAAAAGAGAGCGGAGAGAAGAGAGAGGAGAGAUCUGAAAAGGUACGCAGAGUACCGCCUCUGAUGAAUGCCGCAACCAGUGGCCACCAUGUUUUCCCUUCACUGGUCCGCCCUACUACGAAACAUCCCCCCGCGCGUCCCCCUCUGGCCGAUUUUCCAACCCCUCGCCAAACCGCGAUUGAACCCUUGUACACGUUAGUAUGCGCAUCAGAGGAAUACAUUUUGCAGACAGGCGGCGGUGCACGAGCCGGAGAGUGUAAUAUCGAUAAUAAUUACGCCACUCGUAGCGUUUGCCGAAUAACUAACCGGACAAGAUUUUUCGUGAACAUCGUGCACCGCUUAAUCGAACUGGUUGAUUCGUGAUAAAAGAGCUUCUUUUCAUCGUCUUCACGUCGAAAAUUUUUCCUCUUUAAUUGAAUUCAGAUAUGAUUAUUCCCUUCUUUAAAUCUGUUAGAUUUAAGAUUAUAAUCGUAUCGUUGCGUUACUUUCUUUUAAACAUGUUUUAAAUUGUUUGAUGUGUUUUCUUCACUUAAGGAUAUUACAAUAAUAAUAUCACUUCUAGCAUACGGAAAAAACUAUUUACUUAUCCCGAUUCAUUUCAAUAAAAGACUCUCGCAUUUUAGCGAAAACAAAGUAACAAAACUUCAAUACACUCCAUCAUACAUAUUAGAUCCUUUAUACGAUCGGAAAGAACCAACCGACAAAGAAAAAAGAAAAAAAAAAAAAGACACGCCCGACUAAAAAGGAAAGUAUCAACGUACAAAAAGACCAAGUCUCGCAUCAAAAGCGUAUACAUACGUAUAUAUACAUAUAUAUAUAUAUUAACCAAAGUAAUCCGCCGCUUCGUUUGCAACGCGAUGCGCGCGCCGCGCGUUUGAGGAAGAGAAGCGCGGAACGAGGAAGAGAAGCCACGAGGAGGAGGAAGAGGAGGAGGAGGAGAACCGCCUUGAAAAAAGAAGGGGAGGAGAGGAGAGAAGAAAAAAAAAAAGAGAGCGAAAAACCGACCGAUAAACAAACCAUACCGCUCGGAUCGCGGCCGCUUUAAUCUUUCUUUCGAGGCAUCAUCGGCCGCCUUUUGCGGCAUUCAAUGAAAAGGAGGAACGAAAGGCUGGGGCUCCUGCCCUCCGCUUUCCUUCCCCCAAAUCCAAUCCCCUUCCACCCCUCCACUCAUUAUGGCAACAUGCGGUAAGUAUACUGGUGUUUAAGUCUCGCUGGUACCCCUCGAUUGCCAGGGGUUGGUCGAGGGUACGGCAUUAAGUUAUACAUUCGUAUAUAUUCGUGCCCGGUAAAAAGUGCCAUAGAUUGGAUACCAUACCAUAGGCUGGAACGUGAAACGAACACGGCAAGCGUGCGCGCGAGCUGUGCCCUCGAAGGUCGGAGGGACAAGGACAGGGUGGAAGAGCAUCCCUUAUUCUGCGGCGGCUCGUUGUAUGGCUCGACGCAUCCGAAUACUCUCACUCCCCUGAUCCCGGGGAUUCCAGGUGGUUUCUGACUCCCUUCCCUCCCCCCCCCCCUCCCCCCUCGCGCUCGCUAUACGCCCUCUCGAAAAUUAGGUAGCCUGAAUCCACAGCUGCGAUUCGCAACAACGUCGAAAGGAUCAAGGAUACCGCACGCGGAUAUCUGCUGCGAUUCUUUCUUUCUUUCUUUCUUUUUCCAGACGUUUCCGGCGGUAUUGUUUCGUGCACUCGAUGUUACGUGAUAAUAUAACGACAGUAAUAUAAAGAUAAAAAUGAAAUUGUUUAAAUUUUAAACAAUUGAUUAGGACGAAAACGAAUGUUUCAUUUUCAUCAUAUUAAAUCAGUAGUAAUAAUUUAAUUGACGUAACGAAAUAAAGCCAUUCUCCAAGAUUCAAUUUUUCGUUGUGUUAUAAUAGUUGUAAAUGGGUUUCUCUGUUUUUCCGUUAAGAGAAGCUUCUGACCGAAAAUACCCCAUUGCUGGCAAAUUUUAACCAUUACCGCGUCCAGUGGAGACUCGAACCAGGUAACUCGGAAUCCUCGGGAUCGACCGGUCAGGUAGUGAAAAAAAACCGGUGUUGGUCCGCGCCGCCCAGAGAUAAUCCAUGUAGCCACGGUGGCGGGACUUACUUGCCCCCUCCUCUUCACUAGCAUACAGUGGCCAACCCCUAUAAGAAGCAACGAUACCGCGGCUGAAAAGCUGCUGCGAAUAACGUGCUUACGCGCGAUCAUCCGACCGCGAUCCUCAAUACCCGUGACAGAUCAAGCUGCGCGCGCCUCUUUCUCUAUCUCUUUCCUUUCUUCUCCCCGCUCCUUCUCCCCCCACCCUCCCCCUCGGAUGAAUCGAACAUAAGCUGGCCGCGUUAAACAGCGAGAGAACAGCGGCUGGCCAAUGGGCGGUGUGACGUAAACGCGGACGCUCCCUUGUGGCGAACAAUCGUCGUGUUUGCCGACACAAUUUCCACGGAUUAAAAUCAUAAGAGCAAGGAGGACCGGUUAGGAUUUUUUUCUUCCCGAGUUAUGGAUGGCUGCAUUUCCGCGCGGACGCCGCUCUGUGUCGGGGAUUUUCGUGACCGCUUCACUGAAGUUUGACUAUUUGAGAGAUGGAUCAUGAGUUUUCUGGGAAAAAAGAAAAAAAAGAAGAAGAAGAAUAAGAUAGAUAAAACGAUCGGCAAAUAACAGUUGGAUUGAUAGUUCGAUUCGAUUUUUAUUAAAAUUUUGCUUUCUAAUUCUUAUACUUCCAUAAUUGAUUUCUUAAAUUUUAUAUAUAUAUACUUGCUUUCAACGUAUAUAUUUCAUACAUCCUUCCAAUUUAAGCAUCCAAAAAAAACAUCUUCGUUCAAUUUGUCCUACAUUUUAUCGUUCCCAUCGUAUAAGGUUCACACGAAGAAAAAAAAAUGAGAGUACACACACACACACAUACACACAUGUCUCGUCUUUUCGAAUUCUGAAAAGUCGAGGGAUCCAGAUUUGACCGCGAUCGAAAGUCAAAGGCAUAUUCGAUCCUCGGCCGUCGGCGGACAGCGGACGGAUUCGAUAUCGGGUCCUGAUGAAGGCUUCUCGAAUGUCGUGUCAGCCACUCUUGGAACCGAGAGGGAAGAGAGGCAGAAAUAAAAUAGAAAGGGAGAUCGAGAGCGGGGAGGCCGCAUUCCUAGACGGCUUACCGGUCGGUUAUCGCGGCAGCCAUCGCUCGUCUUCUCAUAUCCAAAGGUGGCGGAUUUGUUUCUUCCUCUUAUCCGACCCUUAAGCAGAGGCUUUUGCGCGGGGGUGGCGGGCCGGUGGUACAAAGGCACCCUAGGGACGCAACAACGGUAUCAUCUUCGGAAGGACGGAAAGCUACCGAAUUUUCGAAUCGUUCGAACGUGUCGGUUCGAAUUUUUUCCAGGCUCGUGGCCACGUCUCAUGGAUAUGAAGCUGUCUCGCGUCCCAUUGUUUGAAGGCUCUCGGCUUUCGAAUCUCUUUUUUCUUUUUUUCGAUUUUAGAUCGAUGUGGUAAAAUGCCGAAUGAUCGAAUUAAUCGAGGAAAACGUUUGGAACGAUACGACAUAUCUGAAAAAAAAAAGGUAUCGUUAAUAUUUCUAUUCUCUGUUAUAAUUAUAAUUAUACAAUAUCAUUAUUGUUUAUCCUCAUUUUAUAAAAGUUAAGGAAAUUAGAAUAUUCGAAAUGGCAUAUUCAAGAUGUUAGAACUUCGCAUAAGGGUCUCGUGUUACGUAAACGAUCGAGAAGAGAAAAGUCAAUUCGCGAAUAUUUAUGAUGCAACGAUUACAAGGAAUAACAGCGAAACGAAUCAGGGAACGGUCCCCCUGGAUUAUAUCCCCUUUUCGCUAUUAUAGGGAACCACCCAUGCAUGAGAACAAACGUGAUUUUAUCAAAGACUAUGAAACCGAGCAGAUUUAAUACUCUUGGACCAAUAUCAAUUGCGCAAUAGAAACAAAAUUUUUUCUGGAAAAAAAAAAUUCCACAACUGCUAAGUUUAAGCCGCGAGAAUGUACGAGGCCCCAUAAAAUGCAGCUCGAGAACAGAAAGAAUCUGUUGGAGAAGGAUCAAUUGAGGUCCAGCAUGCCAACCGUUAUCAAAGGGACGUCCAAGCAAGAUUUAAUUAAGAAUUCUUCAAACUAGACAUCCGAGCAGGAUUUCGCGCGGGCCCCUCUACCCCUGCGGGCCCGAUAUAUCCGAAGAAUCAACGUCAGAACGGCAGAAACGAAACGUCAGGGCACGACGGCGCACCAUGGCGCAGUGGAUACAGAAAGGAAAGACAAGAGGAAGACGAGACAUUGGAAGGUUCGCGUUUCGAGCCGGUAGCACGAACAAGCGUCCUCUUGGCCUCCUCUCGGCACCGGCAAAGCAUUCCUCGUGUCAGAACUUCACAAAGAUCCUCCGGUUAACAGAGAAUCGAGAGACUAAGAAGGAGAGAAAGAGCAGCGGGAUACUUCGACGAGGGGCUACUGGUUUCUCCGCGAGAUUCUUGAUGAGAAAACGCGUGGUUCCGUUCCGUUCCUUCGUCAAAAAGUCGCUGCGUGCUCCCGUACGAUUCGUAAGAGCGUCACAGCGUGAGUUUUGUGCCCUCUAUCCACGAUGUGUCCAUAUAAAUUUCAGCGACGUUUUCGUCGGGAUCCUGAAAAUAUAUUUCUAGUAAAAAAAAGAGGAAGAAAGAGAGAGUAAAAAAGAAAAAGAAAUCAUGAGAAAUUGAGAUGAUCGAUGGAUAGAUUUGUAAUUUUGAAUAGAAGAAGAAAUUUGAAAGCGUUGCAAAUUGUGUGAGAGAUAAUAGAAAAAUUAUUAAUUGAUUUAAUGUAUUGAAGUAAAACAAAAACUAAGUAAUAUAUCAAGAAAUGGAAGAAAUAUCAGAAGACAUUGUAAAGAUGCUAAGUACUACUCACUUAAGAUACUACUCACUAAUAGUAUUAUAUCAUUCAUUCUAUCUCCAAUUUGAGAUAUCCUUUUAAAAACUUAAAUUAUUAAUUGUGAAAAGAACAUUUUUUUUAUUUCAUUUAUAAGAAAUAUUUGUGUCUAUUGCUUCUUACCAAUGAAGCAUAAAAUAAUAAAAGAG